CUGCGGAAGGAUCAUUACUGAGUGAGGGCCCUCUGGGUCCAACCUCCCACCCGUGUUUAUUGUACCUUGUUGCUUCGGUGCGCCCGCCUCACGGCCGCCGGGGGGCUUCUGCCCCCGGGUCCGCGCGCACCGGAGACACUAUUGAACUCUGUCUGAAGAUUGCAGUCUGAGCAUAAACUAAAUAAGUUAAAACUUUCAACAACGGAUCUCUUGGUUCCGGCAUCGAUGAAGAACGCAGCGAAAUGCGAUAACUAAUGUGAAUUGCAGAAUUCAGUGAAUCAUCGAGUCUUUGAACGCACAUUGCGCCCCCUGGUAUUCCGGGGGGCAUGCCUGUCCGAGCGUCAUUGCUGCCCUCAAGCACGGCUUGUGUGUUGGGCUCCGUCCCCCCGGGGACGGGUCCGAAAGGCAGCGGCGGCACCGAGUCCGGUCCUCGAGCGUAUGGGGCUUUGUCACCCGCUCUGUAGGCCCGGCCGGCGCCAGCCGACAACCAAUCAUCCUUUUUUCAGGUUGACCUCGGAUCAGGUAGGGAUACCCGCUGAACUUAAGCAUAUCAAUAAGCGGAGGAAAAGAAACCAACAGGGAUUACCUCAGUAACGGCGAGUGAAGCGGUAAGAGCUCAAAUUUGAAAGCUGGCUCCUUCGGGGUCCGCAUUGUAAUUUGGCAGAGGGAUGUUUCGGGAGCAGCCCCCAUCUAAGUGUCCUGGAACGGACGGUCAUAGAGGGUGAGAAUCCCGUAUGGGGGAUGGGGUGUCUGCGCCCAUGUGAAACUCCUUC
rnacentral:rRNA from 1 species